GUGCGAUAAGUAGUGUGAAUUGCAGAAUUCCGUGAAUCAUCGAAUUUUUGAACGCAAAUUGCGCUUCCUGGCAUCCCGGGAAGUAUGCCUGUUUGAGGGUCAGUGUUAAUAAAAAAUCGGUUUGGUUGCAAAUUGUGACUUUCCGGAGUUUGGGCUAUCUUAACUUUUUUGGUUAAGAGGCUUAAAAUUGACCUUUUUUGCGCAUUUUUAGACGUACAUAAAUUUUUUUUUAUUCGUCUAUUCUUAAUGCCAAAAUCUUAUUAGAUGCGAUCACAUCGUGUGGUUUCGUGUCCAUAAAAUUUUCAUGAUUUGACCUCAAAUCAGGUAGGAGUACCCGCUGAACUUAA
rnacentral:misc_RNA from 1 species